UCCGGUUUGUCACCGGCAGUCUCAUUAGAGUGCUCAACUGAAUGUAGCAACUAAUGACAAGGGUUGCGCUCGUUGCGGGACUUAACCCAACAUCUCACGACACGAGCUGACGACAGCCAUGCAGCACCUGUGUAAAGGUUCUCUUUCGAGCACUCCUAAAUCUCUUCAGGAUUCCUUCCAUGUCAAGGGUAGGUAAGGUUUUUCGCGUUGCAUCGAAUUAAUCCACAUCAUCCACCGCUUGUGCGGGUCCCCGUCAAUUCCUUUGAGUUUUAAUCUUGCGACCGUACUCCCCAGGCGGUCUACUUCACGCGUUAGCUGCGUUACCAAGACAAUUAAGUCCCGACAACUAGUAGACAUCGUUUAGGGCGUGGACUAC
rnacentral:misc_RNA from 1 species